UUCAAGCCCCUCUAUUUUGAUGAUGCAAGCCUCAAAUGAAAAACCUCCAACAUAAAAGUUGUAGAUAUUUUCAAGACAAUCAAAAUGGACUAAAAUUUUGCAUCAUUUUAAUUUUUGAUGAAAAAGAUAUGGGCACUUGAAGUUGGACUUUUUUGCCUUUCAAUGCAUUUGGCCCAAAAUGACCUAUAAUGUCUUGCAUUAUCAGAUGUAUUUAAU
rnacentral:lncRNA from 1 species